rnacentral:piRNA from 1 species
UCCCAUGGUGUUUAGGUAGCAUUGAGGGC